rnacentral:lncRNA from 1 species
AUCUUGAAAAGCCUGGGAGAGAGGGUUGGCCAAGACUUUCUCCUGAGGAGUUACUCAUCUUUUCCUCUCCUGAGGAAAAGAAGAAUAAGAAGAGGGCCUAAAAGGGAAGUGACAUAAAAUGGGAUGGAAGAAAGUCACAACAGAAUGAAUAGGAAAUGACCAAAUGGAGUAAAGAAAAUGAGAGGGUCAGCGAAGAAAAUGAAGAUCAGUUGAGAUCAGCUGAGGGAGCCUGAAAGAAUAAAAGGUGUCCUGAUCCACGAUGGCUCAUAAGGAUUACAGCAGGACUUGAGUGAAAAUGAGGGCUGCUCAUCAGGAAACAGCUAUACUCAUGAACAUUAAUAGCAACAACAGAGAAAGAGUUGUUUGGGGAAUACCAUCUUUCCUCCCUCCUACCCAUGUGACUCUAACCAGACCAUCAAGCGCCAUUUGAAAUUCUCUAUCAUUUUUGAAGCCAGAUGCAACCCACAAUGACCUCUCUCCUCAAUUCCAAUAUAAUUUUUAUUUGUACUAUUUACUUAGUAAAUACCAUAUAUC